rnacentral:rRNA from 1 species
UACCAGCUCCUCGAGUGGUCAGGACGUUUAUUGGGCCUAAAGCAUCCGUAGCCGGCUCCGUAGGUCUCAUGUUAAAUCCAACGGCUCAACCGUUGGCCUGCAUGAGAUACCGCGGGGCUAGGAGGCGGGAGAGGCGGACGGUAUUCCUCGGGUAGGGGUAAAAUCCUUUGAUCCGAGGAGGACCACCAGUGGCGAAGGCGGUCUGCCAGAACGCGCUCGACGGUGAGGGAUGAAAGCUGGGGGAGCGAACCGG